GCUAUGUCAGAGACAAUCAAAUGUCUAAUGGACUCCAGAAGCAGAACAGCAAUUCAGAGCUAAAAGCAGAACUUUUCUCAGCAACUGUCUUAGCUCUACCAAAUGAUCAAAAACUGUUCAUCCAAACAGUCUACGGAACCUCUCAGAUCACAAGAAACACGUCCGCCUGGUUCUUCAGAGGCUGCUCGAAAACAAGCUCUUCGUUAAGGCUGAGAAAUGUGAAUUUCACCAACCAUCUGUUACAUUUCUUGAGUUUGUGCUUGAAGGCGGGCAGGUGAAGCCAUCUGAAGAAAAAAUAAGAGCUGUUCUGGAUUGGCCUACUUCAGAGAACCCCCUGACUUCGGUAAAGAAGACUUUCCAAUGGACACCUGAGGCGGACGCAGCCUUUAAGAAACUUAAGACUCUUUUUUCCAGUGCACCCAUCCUGGUCCAGCCUGAUCCUUCUAAGCAGUUAAUUCUAGAGGCUCUCCCCGGCUGAGCAAAAUUAUGAUGUCGGAGACAGAGAACUCCUGGCCAUUAAACUCGCUUUGGAGGAAUGGAGACACUGGCUCGAAGGUGCCGAGCAUCCAGUAUUAGUUUGGACUGAUCACAAGAACCUGGCAUAUCUCCA